UGGCGGAGCUGCUGGCGGGGCU
rnacentral:misc_RNA from 1 species